rnacentral:rRNA from 1 species
UACGUAGGGUGCAAGCGUUAAUCGGAAUUACUGGGCGUGAAGCGUGCGCAGGCGGCUUUGCAAGGCAGAUGUGAAAUCCCCGGGCUCAACCUGGGAACUGCAUUUGUGACUGCAAGGCUAGAGUACGGUAGAGGGGGAUGGAAUUCCGCGUGUAGCAGUGAAAUGCGUAGAUAUGCGGAGGAACACCGAUGGCGAAGGCAAUCCCCUGGACCUGUACUGACGCUCAUGCACGAAAGCGUGGGGAGCAAACAGG